UGUUGGGUAGCAGGGAUGGUGGCGCAGUGACGUCACUCACAAAGCUUUCAGAAACUUGUCUUGCCUUUCCUACAUCACUGGAAGGACAAGUGGCCUCAAAUUCAAUUUGGUCUGCACCCCAUGGAGACGUUAGGAGCCGGACUUCGCAAAUCGAAACGCAAAUGCUUCUUUCAUCGCGCGUUCGCGUUUGAAACGCCAUCUUUUCACGCGUAGGGAGGCAUGAAGCGCAAGAACGAGCGACGGAACGAGUCGAGGAAAAGACUACGAGCGUCUCUGAGGGAGCAGACGGAUUCCAAGCGCGAUAUUUACCUUCGUAUCACAGAUCAGCUGUAUUUUGCUCUUCUUCAUCAGAAGGUGAAGAGCAGUCCUGACAGACACUGUUUCUGCAUCGAUGAAGAGCUUUCCUAUGAGAACUUCUAUUCGGACUUUGGCCCGCUCAACCUGGCCAUGUUUUAUCGCUUCUGUUGCAAACUCAACAAGAAGCUGAAGUCUUGUGCUCUUGCAAAGAAGACAAUUGUGUUUUAUACCUGUGGUGACCGAAAGAAACAAGCCAAUGCUGCGUAUUUGAUCGGCUCUUAUGCUGUAAUGCAUCUACAGAAAACACCAGAAGAAGCGUACAGCCUUCUGCUCUCUCAAAAUGGAUCUUAUCUUCCUUUUCGAGAUGCAUCCUUUGGAGCGUGCAUGUUCAAUCUGAAUAUCCUUGACUGUCUACGGGCCGUUCACAAGGCUCUCCAGUUCGGCUGGCUGGAUUUCUCCAAGUUUAAUGUGGAGGAAUAUGAACAUUAUGAGCGGGCAGAAAAUGGAGAUUUCAACUGGAUAAUUCCAGGAAAGUUUUUGGCUUUUAGCGGCCCUCAUCCAAAUAGCAAAAUUGAGAAUGGAUACCCUCUUCAUGCCCCUGAAGCGUAUUUCCCCUACUUCAGGAAGCACAACAUCACUGACAUCAUCCGGCUCAACAAGAAAAUGUACGAUGCCAAGCGUUUCACAGACAUGGGCUUCAAGCACCACGACCUGUUCUUCGUAGACGGCAGUACGCCCAACGAUGCCAUCGUCACCAAAUUCCUGAACAUUUGCGAGAAUGCAGAUGGAGCCAUUGCGGUCCACUGCAAAGCCGGUUUGGGCCGAACAGGGACACUGAUUGGCUGUUACAUGAUGAAACACUUCAGACUGAUGGCAGCUGAGGUUAUCGCGUGGAUCAGGAUCUGCAGACCCGGUUCGAUCAUCGGACCUCAGCAGAACUUCAUAGACAAAAAGCAGGCGAGUCUGUGGGCAGAGGGUGAUUUGUACCGUCAAAAAAUAAAUGAGCAGGAAAACGGAUCGAGUAAAACACUAGUGGCUGGAAUCCUAUUAGGAGUGGAAGAUAUUUCCAUUAAUGGUACAAACAAGAACAUUUCACAGAGAAAAACAGCCUCUGAGACGCACACUGAGGAAGAGGAAGAGGAGUGCAUGGGACUCACGCAAGGUGACAAACUGAGAGCUCUGAAGAGUAAGAGGCAGUCCAGAGCAUCUACGGGGUCAAUAUCGUUAGAAGAAAAUACUAUUCACACCAAAUCAACACCAAAUACAUUAAGCUCAGAUAAAAGGAAAAGAACUUGGGCUUCCCUUGGAUCCAGCAGGACCAGUAGCCCUUUACAAUCAAGGCUCGCUAAAUCUUUAGGCAGCUUGCACAUAAUGGUCUGUGAAAAGGAUCAUAUGUUUUCUGAUUCAGUGGCCAACAAUAUUUGCAUCAAGGAGUCAAACUUGCUGACGGGAAGAGCAGGGAUCUCUGGUGUUUGCUUGCACACUGUCUGCUGAUGGAUGAUUCACGUUAAAUGACUCUUACAGGAUCCCAAGCACUCUCAGUCUUAACUCCAUCCCCAAAGCUCGAGCUCCUCUCCUCCGCUGAAGGAUCCACUAAAGACCAACACCACUGAUAUCACUAUCACUUUACUCCUAGUCUUUACUGAGAAAUCGGCAGAUGUUAACCAUUUUUUUUUUGAUCAAGAGAAAGCAAGGAGUUUAUUUUUAAAUCAGAGAGCUUUAUGCAUCUGUGAAGUUUGACUUUAUGCCAUUGUAAACAUCAUGAGUGUCAGAAGCUGCCUUUGCCAUUAUGCAUUGUUACUUAACCUGUAAUAUUGUUUUUUAAUAAUGUUGCUAGAAGUUUAUUAAUACUUACAGAAAUGUGACAGACUGUAAAUAACCGAAUGUGAAUCAUACUGUGCUACCCGUAAAUGAAAGCUGUAUAUAUGCUGGAGUUUGAUAGACUAAAAUUACGGUUUUUUUUUUUUUUUUUUUUUUUACUGUAAAUAAUGCAUACCUUUAUUUUGACGAUGAAAUUUAAAUCAUGAUUAUUUCACAUAUGAUUCAAAUCCUUUCCUAUUAUAUCUCUUUUAAUAAAUCCUUUCUGCUAUGCAAAUGUGGUUCUUGAAUGAACAUCAAUAUAUGUUUCUAUGUUUACUUGGAUUUAUCCUCCUGUCCCUUAACAGCAUUUUUUAUAUAAA